rnacentral:rRNA from 1 species
UGGGGAAUCUUGGACAAUGGGCGCAAGCCUGAUCCAGCCAUGCCGCGUGAGUGAAGAAGGCCUUCGGGUUGUAAAGCUCUUUUACCAGGGACGAUAAUGACGGUACCUGGAGAAUAAGCCCCGGCAAACUUCGUGCCAGCAGCCGCGGUAAUACGAAGGGGGCUAGCGUUGUUCGGAAUUACUGGGCGUAAAGCGCACGUAGGCGGAUUGUUAAGUCAGAGGUGAAAUCCCGGAGCUCAACUUCGGAACUGCCUUUGAUACUGGCAAUCUAGAGUCCGGAAGAGGUUAGUGGAAUUCCGCGUGUAGCAGUGAAAUGCGUAGAUAUGCGGAGGAACACCGAUGGCGAAGGCAAUCCCCUGGACCUGUACUGACGCUCAUGCACGAAAGCGUGGGGAGCAAACAGGAUUAGAUACCCAAGUAGUCCCUGAGCGGGCUGGCAAGGCGCAU